AGCUCCAUAAGGAGUUAGGUGUUCAGGAGCUUCAUAAGAAGGUAGGUGUUAAGGAGCUUCAUAAGGAGUUAGGUGUUCAGGAGCUUCAUAAGGAGUUAGGUGUUCAGGAGCUUCAUAAGGAGUUAGGUGUUGAGGAGCUUCAUAAGGAGUUAGGUGUUCAGGAGCUUCAUGAGGAGUUAGGUGUUCAGGAGCUUCAUACGGAGUUAGG